UAACAAUUUAUCUCAAUAAGAGAAAAGCUAAAACAAAAUUGACCAAAAUGAAAAAUAUUGAAUAAAUAUAGCCUAUAUUGGGACUAUUUCUGACUAGAUUCUUGACAGAAGUAUAUCCAAUACAACUUGAUGACUACAAAAAGUUGAUGAACAAAUAAUAAUAAUACUAGAGAGAAAUGCAAGUAUUUAGCAAGGGAAAUUUGAUGAUGUACAGUGUGAUGACUUAGCUGAUUUUAUAAGAUGAAUUCUUGGGAGCUGAUUAUCAAAAUAGCGUAGGAAGUAGAUACGCAACAAUAGGGAAGAGUUCGUGGGCGGACUUGGUAGAGGAGGAUAAAGCUCUACCAGGUGAAAGCCUUUCGCCAGGAAAUACAUGGAGUAGAAUUGUAGGGGCAAAAAACUAGUGGAAGAAGGAGUAGAUCUACGGGGAGAGGAAAACCCUAGUUAGAAUAUGAAAAUAACAGGUGAGGAUAUUCAAGAGGAGGUAGAAUACCUAGGGAACAAUUGUGGUAUGCUAUGUACUAGGCUCAAAUCCACCACAAGCAGUCAUGGAGGGGUAUUUUAGACGGAUUCCAAAGAAAUUAGGUGUUGCUAAAGUAGCCCAAGUAAACAGAGGAGUAUUUAUGAUGUGGUUUGGUAGUGUUGAGAAUUGGGGGAAAGCGGUGGAGGAAGGGGUCCGCCAAAUGUUUGAUAUAAAGGCAGUAAUAGUGAAAUCAUGAAAAUCUAACAUUGAUGUAACAAAACAAAGGGUGGACAAAAGUGUCAAUUGGGAUUGAUGGUGGGAUUAAAUAUCACGUACCGGAGGAAAAAUGCACUAACAAAAUAACAGGGAUGAUAGGGAACCUUAUCAAAGCAAAUAGAGCAACUACACAAAAGGAGAGGCUCAUGACGUUUGCAAGAGUACUUAUAGAGGUGCCUCUUAACAAGGAAUAUCCCAAAUAGAUAAUGUUCGAGAAUGAAGUAGGGAAGAUAAUCCAUUAACAGGUGGAGUAUGAAUGAAAAUCGAUACUAUGCGACAAAUGUAAAAAUUUUGGGCAUGAAAUAAGAUAGUGCAGAAAACAGAUAAGAGAAGAAUAAAAAGGAAAGGUAGAUAGGAAUGAGGAAGAUAAGGGGAGGAAGUUAAAACAAACGAUCAAUAUAAGAAUGUACAGAAGAAAAUAGAAGAACCAGGAAUAAGAGGGGAACCUAGUAGAGCAGGAACUUGGUGGGGGAAACUACAAAUUUCUAAGGCAUUGGAAAGUGAAGAACAAGGGAAUAAGAUCACAAACCUAAGCAAUGUUAAGACUAGCAAUAUGCAAGAUAUGGGGAGGGAUGGGGAUACCCCAUCCUCAAUAGAUAGGAUUGGUUUUCUGGAACUCCUGGGGAUUAAAUAGUACUGAUAAGAAAAAAGAGGUGCAUGUCUUUCUGCAUAACUCAAAAAUUAGACUAUUUAGUUUUCUGAAGACUAGAAUUAAAAGGGCCAAAGCUAGUAGGGUUGCUCUUAAUCUUUGUAAAGGAUGAGCAUUUACCACUAAUCUAACAGUUCACCGAAGAGGUAGAACAUGAUUUUUUUGGAAACCGGAAACAUAUACGGUUGAUUUGGUAAUAAGGCAACUAAUGCAUAGCAAAGUCAAACAUAGAAGGAUGGGGGAAACUUUAAUGUCACUAUGAUUUAUGGGUAUAAUGAACAAGCUAUGAGAAGCACUAUGUGAAGUGAAAUAACAAGAAUACGGGAAAACUUAAAUGGAGCAUGAACAAUAAUGAAGAAUUUUAACAAUGCAAUAAAUACAAAUGAAAGGGUGGGGAGACAUGUGAAAAUUGUAGAAAAGAGAGAGUUUAGGAAAUGUGCUGAAGAGUGUGAGGUUCAAGAUCUUAAAUCAGCAGGGUCAUUCUUCACUUAGAACAAUAAGUUAAAAAGGGAAGAUAGAGUAUGGAGUAAGAUAAAUAGGGCAUUGGUGAACAUAGAGUGGAAAACAUAACUACCAGCAUCAGAAGUGCAACUUAUGAAUGAGGGAAUCUAUGAUCACUGCCCAACAAUUAUAAGCUAGGAGGAUGGACACAUAAUUGGAAGGAAACAAUUCAAGUAUUUUUUUAACAUGUGGAAAAUGACCCCAGAGUAUAAAUCCAGGAUAAAAGCAAGUUGGGAAAAAAGAAUAAAGGAUCGAAACAUGUUUUGAUUAGUUGGGUAAAAUGAUGGCAGCGAGAUAAAGCUUCAUAUUCCAGGCGAUUCGACUUCCACAUCUCACUGUGUUGAAAGUUAUGCGGAGAUUUGGAGUUUUGUCACUAGAUCCACCUCAAGCUCUCACCAGGUGAUAUGCAGCUCAGUCCAAGGAAGAAUUCUUCCAUCUCAGCCUCUCUUCUUAGCUCUCCAUAACAUCAGGUUUGUUCCUCACAAGAUAGUUAUUGAAGGCAUUGCUAGUUGGAUUCGUAGUAAAUUUGAAUUGGCUAGACCCUUAUGAAAGAAGUUUCCAGAAUCUACUCAUGAUAUGUGGUUUGAGGAACUCAAGAAGAAAUUCAAAUGGCUCCCUCACUAUACUGAUGUUAUACGACGUAAUUUUGAGAAAAAGGCAUCUGCAAGGAUGGCACAAUUUUUUCAAGAUGUUAGGAAAAACUUGCCUCUGAAGCCACAUUGAAUGAGGGAUGCAGUAUUCAAGGAGAUGCAGAGGCACUGGGAGUCUCCUUCAUUCAAGAUAAAGUCCAAACAAAAAAAAAUUGUGAUUUAAAUGCUGGUGCAUCACUUCAUACAGGUGGUUGUAUACCUCAUCAAGUGAUCUAUAAGAGAAUGAAAGAAUCUACUGAAAAAGAUCCAUCAAUUUCAGAAUUUUAUUUUCAAACUCAUCGCAAGAAAAGUGAUAAAAGUUGGUUAAAUGAGAAAGCUGAACUGCUUAUAAUAAUUUUGAAAGAAAGAAACAAGAACUAUUAGCUUCUCAAAGUGCAUCAACUGUGGAAGGAGAAACUAAUUCAGCUGGUCAACCUUCUCAAUUAACAGAAAUGGAUAUCUGAGUGCAAUCUGUUGGUGGAAAGAAAAAAGGAAAAGUUAAAGGUCUUGGCUCCCUGGGUCGAUCUGUAAAGGCAUCAUCUAAAUAAUCAACAUCGGCUUUAUCGAGAGAAAUUGAUGAGAUGAUUAAAGCUUAGGUAAAUGCUUCCAAUGUUGACUUAUAUGCUCAAUUGCAGAAAGAUCGUCACAAAAAUAAGAGGAUGAGAAAGGAAUUAGACUUAUUGAAGAAGCAUGUAUACAAUGCAUCAUCUUCAAAUGUGCAAAUCAUCUCAAGAAGACAAUCAAGCUUAUGAGGAUGAAAGUGGUGAUGACUCUGAUAGCAUGAAUGACAGUGGUUUUGUCCAUGACUCUGAUAGCGUGAAUGAAAGUGACUAUAAUAAGGAUUGAGAUAGUUGAUAGUACUAUUUAGGAUUCAAAUUUGAAUUGUAUUUUGUUUUUGUCCAUUUAAGAAUCAUAAACUAUUGAUCUUGCGGGUUUCUUUUUGUAGGAAUUAUGAAUUAUGAAUUCUGUUUUUUGUUGAAUGAAAGUAAUAUAAUGUGA